UGAAGAAGAAGAAGAAGAAUGGACAAUGCAAAUGUUGGUCUCAAAGACUUGAUUACCCACAAAGCUAGAGCCAUGUAGGCAUUUAGUGAUGGGCUCAUGCCCUUCUAAGGGCUUUUCAACAGCCAAGGAUUGUUGCAGAAACCCUUGUAGGGAUAAUUACUGGCAACAUAAUGUUUCCCCAUACAGGUUUGCAGCCAUGGAUUCACCUUCUCCCUCACAGGCACUGCCUCUCCUCUGCUAGUGCACCAAAUCACUGACCUCAAGAUAAGCAAAUCACACAUUGGAUGACUAGUAGUUGCAGCUAGAAUACACUUUGAUUUGUGUUCACCGCCAAGAGCUGGGUCAACCAUGAAAACCCAGAAGGAAAACCUAUGAAAGGCUCCCACAUGGUGGUCUUGGUUGCUUUUUUGGUCAUAAGCUGCAGCUGCUAGCCUAUUGCAGGGAACAGCCCCAUGAUGAGUGCGUUCAUGGCAGGAAUUGCCUUGCCUAGAGAGGGCAAGCUGUCAAAGAUGAUGAUCAGAAAGGUUAACUACUUCUUCAACAGCAUCUUUUAUCCAUUUUUUUCCUAUUUGGGUGGGCUUGGGGUCAAUUUUUAGAAGUUCCAUCCUGGCAGCCAUGGGACAUGAGCAAGAUUGUUCUUCAUUUUUGAGAUUGCAACAUUGGGAAAAGACAUUGGAACCCAUCAGGCUCAUGCGAAGAUUCAAUCACCCAGAUUAGUUGCUCUCGGUUUACUUCUCACUGUCAAGCGUCUUGGCACUUUCUGCCCUGGAGAAUGAAAUCACAUUGACUUCAACCAGUACUAGAUUGACAAUCUUCUUCACUGUGGUCUACACCCCAUCAGUAAUAGGGUACAUCAUUGGAAGUGCAAGGAAACACUCACCAAAUCAACAGAUGACACUGCAAUGGCUUAAGCCUGCAAAUGAGCCUUGAAUGUUGCCAAGUGUUCAAGGCCCUCAACACCUGCCUUCAAUCAUUAACUUCAUUGUGAUAUCCCAGGGGAGACAUGAUCCUGCAAUCAUAGUUUAUGUGACUGACAUGAUCAAGCUCACAGAAAAAAUAGAGUCCACCCUGAUACACAAUGAAGGAGGGAUAUGGUGAUUGUGACCAACAAGGCAGUGGUAGAGAUGGGAGAUCAAAUCAUUACAGCAAUCAAAACUUAUGAAAAGGAGAACAGUAGAAGUUGUACUACCAUUCAGUGAAUGCUUGCACUCUCAGCAUUCAGUCCUAUGCACCAGGAUAUUUGCAGGUUUGCAGAGACUUGCUUGUUUCCCUUGUUGUACUGCCAUUCCAUUAGUACCAGGUUGCAGAUGGAAAAUGAUUGAAGCCCAGUCCAUAAUCUGAUAUGUGAACAGAAAGGUAUGUACACACAUGUAUUAUCACAGAAGUCUGGGAAAGACUCCAAAAUUCUACUCAAUGCUUCCACUGAGGCACUGUCUGAUACAUCCAAAGCAGUAUUGAAUUCCUAGUUUGCCAUGAUGAUCAUUUUGUCUUCUAAAAGGUGCUUUAGUGUGCCCCAUGCUUCAUUAGGAUACUGGUUGAUUGGGGUCUUGGAUUGACCACCAAAAUAGUGAGAUCAUCCAUAUUCUAAAUGUGGCAGUUAUUUUUCAUCAGUGGCAAAGAUGAUAGGGAAGCACUAGCCUAUGCCAGCCACGUGGCCCAACAUCCUGGAGUGAAACUCGCAGUUAUUAGAUUCCUAUAGGAUACUAAUGCCAAAACCAAAUUGACAAGACUUGGCACCAGUACCGGUAAGGUUAGCCUGCCUGAGCAAGAAGAGAUGAAGCUUGAUGAUGAGUUCUUUGCAAGUUCUAUGAGAGACUAGUAGGAGGACACAUAGCUCAUAUGGAAGAGUAUCUUGCAAAUUCAGCUGAGACCAUGUCAGCUCUGAAGUCAUUAAAAGAACAAUAUAGACUCAUCGUUGUUGAUCAAGGGGUGAGUGUGAAUUCCAUAUUGACAGCUGGGAUGAAUGUUUGGAUGCGGUGUCCAGAACUAGGUCCCAUUGGUGACUUUCUAUUGGGAUCUGAUUCAGUAGUUUCAGCCUCCAUUAUGAUCACCCAACAACACAGUCCUAAAGGAGAAUUGGCUGAUCUCACUGAUGACUUUUCAGUCAUGUAAAUGUAAAUUCCUGUUAGUAAGGUAGCUAAAAACUUCAGGAUCCAAUUAUAGCAAGGUAAUUUGGAAAUUGCCAAAACAAUAGCUGUAGAAUGGGAAAACACACAAGAAACUAGUGAACAUUGAUAAAAGAAAAUUAUUGAAAAUGAGUGAAAAGCAAUUUAUAAUAUAUUGUUAUAUGCAUUUCCCAUAAUCAUUCUGCCUUCGCUUUCCCCCUAGUUGCAGAAAUAUUUAGUUUAUUGUUUUCCACUCAUUUACAGAUCUAGCUACUAGUUGUCAACUUGUUUCUCAAACAUCUUCAGCAUAUCUGCUAGGUGGCUUGCAAGGAACAUGAGAUUUGUGUUCUUUCCAUGUUAAUGUGAAAACAAUCAUUGGCAAUGUAAGGUUCAGUUUCACUUGGUAUCUUACUGAGAUGUGGGACUAACUAGUUUAGUUUGUCAUCUUGAUAUACAUAUAUUUUGCCAAUUAGUUUUAUUUUGAAGUUACAUAUCCAUAAUCCCUUUCAUUCCUGUUGUUUUUUUUAACACACUGCAGUGGUAGUUGAGGGUGGGACAGAAACUGUAGUUUUUAACUAACUACUAAGAACUUCA